ACUCAAAUGAAUAGACGGGGACCCGCACAAGCAGCGGAGCAUGUGGUUUAAUUCGAAGCAACGCGAAGAACCUUACCAGGGCUUGACAUCCCUCUGACCGGCCGGUAAAGCGGCCUUUCCUUCGGGACAGAGGAGACAGGUGGUGCAUGGUUGUCGUCAGCUCGUGUCGUGAGAUGUUGGGUUAAGUCCCGCAACGAGCGCAACCCUUGUUAUUAGUUGCCAGCAGGUAAAGCUGGGCACUCUAAUGAGACUGCCGGGGAUAACUCGGAGGAAGGUGGGGAUGACGUCAAAUCAUCAUGCCCCUUAUGUUCUGGGCUACACACGUGCUACAAUGGCCGGUACAAAGCGAAGCAAACCCGCGAGGGAGAGCAAAUCAGCAAAACCGGUCCCAGUUCGGAUUGCAGGCUGCAACUCGCCUGCAUGAAGUCGGAGUUGCUAGUAAUCGUGAAUCAGCAUGUCACGGUGAAUGCGUUCCCGGGUCUUGUACACACCGCCCGU
rnacentral:rRNA from 1 species